rnacentral:rRNA from 2 species
UAACACCUGGAAACAGAUGCAAUACCGCAAACAACUUGGACCGCAUGGUCCGAGUUUGAAGAUGGCUUCGGCUAUCACUUUUGGAUGGUCCCGCGGCGUAUUAGCUAGAUGGUGGGGUAACGGCUCACCAUGGCAAUGAUACGUAGCCGACCUGAGAGGGUAAUCGGCCACAUUGGGACUGAGACACGGCCCAAACUCUACGGGAGGCAGCAGUAGGGAAUCUUCCACAAUGGACGGAAGUCUGAUGGAGCAACGCCGCGUGAGUGAAGAAGGGUUUCGGCUCGUAAAACUCUGUUGUUAAAGAAGAACAUAUCUGAGAGUAGCUGUUCAGGUAUUGACGGUAUUUAACCAAAAGCCACGGCUAACUACGUGCCAGCAGCCGCGGUAAUACGUACGUGGCAAGCGUUGUCCGGAUUUAUUGGCGUAAAGC